AGGUGGGAUAGGAGAUGUUUUUCUGGCACAUAUUUUACCAUAUCAUCUGAAAAACUCCUCAUGACGCCAUAGCACCCAUUGAAAUAGAGUGUUUGGAAAAAAAACGAAAUCUUUUGGUCCAGUGUAGAGGGCGUAGUCAGAAGAAAACGGCAACCAAUAGAAGUAAUACUCAUCAUCACUUCUAUUGGUUUCUGACACGUCCAUCAACCGCCAGCACUCACCCCUCCUCCCUGCGCGUUCACCGACUCGUGAACUUGACCGACCCCGCCCCCAUCAUUCAUGCACACGCGACAAGGCUCAUCAUCACUCGGCUAGUAGCAAGGUAACGAGAGUUAGCAGCAGGCUGAGCUACUUGGAAACUUUGGUGGCUUUUGCAGAGCUACAGGAAGAACUUUGGCUUUUGGAACAGUAGACUAACCAUGUCAGGAUAACAUACUCCCUUGGAUUAUCAUCGGACUCGCAAGACCAGACUCCAACACGGGCUGAAAAUUUGAAAUGGGACCUGACACUCUUGGACACAGAUGUCGGCUACGGCAGCGGCUUCAAAUACGAUUUGGUGACCAUAUUUCUAAUCGAGAGUUGUGCGAACGAGCCAGACAAACCAGCUGGGAGGAGGACGGAAGCACCCCUUCUCCAUCCGCGUUCAGUUGCUAAAUACGGAUCCACCCCGUAGUGUGGUGUUUUCCAUAGCUGCUCCUUGCUCCUGUUUCACAACAUAUCAAGGCUGCCAAGUAAAUGAAGAAUGAAUCACCGCACACUGGUCAACAGCCGACAGGGUCCUUCCACAACCACAUACUUAUGCCAGUAAAAGCCACAGCUUUUCUCCUCCAAUCCAAGAAGCCUGGACUGCAGUCACCAUCUCAACACACCAACCAAGAGAAAGGCGGAUGGCUCAAUUCAAUAUGGAAAAUUGCACAAUAAAAGUUCCAGGACAUGAAGGCUGCAUACUGUGAACGUCAACCUUCAGGGCACCGUCCUGCGCAGAAGACUUUCUACCCUAAGAGGGAUGGCUGACCGCAGACACUCACAACCAGCACAGACGCCUCCAACCUCAAACUAGGCCCUUCACAGUUGCUGCACUUACCCACCUUCCCAGAGUUUUUGUGUGGUAAUGACAACUGUAAAUAUAGUAUAAAGUAAUGUAUCUAGUGUCAUGUGUAAUACAUUGUUUAAAUUGUCCAUACAUUUCAAUGACAGUAAAUAUUGGUGGACACAAUUUGACUGUGUGGCUUUUUUUUAAUUCAUUCUCUGACUGAAAAUGCAUGGUUACAUAAUUUAUAUAUUCCACAAGACCACAAUCAGAAGAACAUUUGACAGGUUGCAUUUAUUUUCUAUGUAUGAAAAAAACAAUGGUAACAAGACAAACGUGGUUCCAAACCAAAAAGGUGAGAUGUACAGAUGAAUGCUCCUACAGAUAAUGAAAAAUAGUCUGCACACUGCCGGUUUGUGUGUUUUAUACCGUACUCUGUAUAAACCUUUUAUAUUGCUCUAGUGGAGCAGGGUAACCCUGGCUAAUCCUGGGUAUUGUACUGUGUAUUACAAGGUCAGCCCUGUUCAAGUGCCCCAUACUGUCUGUAGGCUGCAUGCCUGAAGAGACCGUUUCUCUCACCUGGUCCUACAUCAGCCCAAAGUCUUAUCAAAACUGAGAACACCACAGCAUUUCCUUUCAAUGUUCAUGGGCAUCUCCUUACAGAUUGCGCAGAGGCGCCAGGUUGGUUGUGCUACUGGGCUGUGACUGAGGACCAGAUGUCAUGUGCCAGGUCGAACAUCAAACUGGGGUCACGGGUCAGGGCACGCUGCAGUAACCGAUGGGAUUGCUUCAAAUUCAAUGAUUGAAUCAAGGCCUGCAAAGCAAUAAAUACAUUUUAUGUAGUGCAUUUUCUAUUUGAUGAUGGGGACUAAAUAACUCUAUUGACAAUAAGACCAAUAUGGACAUAAGCAAUCAUUAUUGUGUAUAUAAAUAAAGAUGUGCCAAUUAUAUGCAUACAACGUUUUCAGUCAAUUUCUUACAAACUGGUGUUGUGCCAGGGGUUACACAGAUGUAUGAAGUAGAUGGGCUUUUAUGGAUGUACUUGAACUACCACUGGUGUUGUGUACCUACAACCAUGUAAUAUCACACUACUACUCAUAGGAGUAGAAAUAUUGUAAUGGUUAUCACAACAGGUGUACUCGUGUAGCCUACUCGUGUUGCGAUAUAGAGUACAUCC